UACGAAGGUGGCAAGCGUUGUUCGGAUUUACUGGGCGUACAGGGAGCGUAGGCGGUUGGAUAAGCCCUCCGUGAAAUCUCCAGGCUUAACCUGGAAAGUGCAGAGGGGACUGUUCAGCUAGAGGAUGGGAGAGGAGCGCGGAAUUCCCGGUGUAGCGGUGAAAUGCGUAGAGAUCGGGAGGAAGGCCGGUGGCGAAGGCGGCGCUCUGGAACAUUUCUGACGCUGAGGCUCGAAAGCGUGGGGAGCAAACAGGAUUAGAAACCCCCGUAGUCC
rnacentral:rRNA from 1 species